rnacentral:lncRNA from 1 species
GUUUUUUUCUCCAUUUAUCAUGUUUAUAACUUUUUUUUUAUUUUGUGUAUUUAUAGGUCAGAUAUCUUGGUUUUUAUGAUCAUCGUCAGGUCCUGCAAGUCUAUACUGAAGAGGAAACUUAUUUGUUAAUACUUUUCUACAUAAUGUGCUAAUUGGAUUAAUUAAUGUGAAAUGAACUCAAUUGUGUGUUUUUCUGGAAAAAGAAAUAGAAAAAAUUCUACAAAAUUGCUAUAAACAAAAUGGAGUACUAUCAAAGAUGCACAAGGACACAAUGGUGUAAAAUGUAACAACCUACAUAUUCACUGAUGGAUUAUGGAGAAAUUAAGAAAAAAAAUAGUAUCUUUGUCAUGUUUGUUGUCGAAAUAAACACAUGCGUUAUCCAUUCAUGUACAUAAUAUUAUGUACAUGGCUCUCCAUCAUAUCAAAUAUACAGAGAAGAUGUUUGAAGAACAAGUUGCCAAAAUUUAUUCAACCAAUUGAAGGAAGAUGUCUUGUGAAUGGAAUUAUUUAUGCACUGAACUGUUAUGUAGGGGGUAGAAUAAUUAUACACAGCAGCUGAAACAGAAGACAAGUUAAUUUGACAUGAAAAGUGUUUAUUUUAUAUAAUCUUUUGUAUCAACAUGAUCAAUAAUUCAGUCUAGGAGAAAAAUAUAUUUAUACUGUUUGUCAAUGUUUGUACUGUUAUGAAAUUUUUAUAGAGGAAAAACAUUUCCUUAAGGGAAAUUUGAUGUUCAGAAAUUUCCUUAGAGGAAAUUUGAAGAACAAUGAUUUCCUUAGAGGAAAUUUCCUCAAAGGAAAAUUUGAAGCGGCAAAUUUCCUCAAAAGAAAAAGAAUUUCCUCAAAGGAAAUAAUUAUGCAGCAAAUUCCCUAAGGGAAAUCUUUUUCCCUUGAGGAAAACUCUUUUUCCUCUGAGGAAAUUGUUGAAAAAAGGGGCAUUACUUUUUCAACAGUGGUGCUAGAGCCAAACAUUUUUAGGACAAAUAUCAGAGAACCAAUACCAAUCAAGUUAUCAACUUCAUUUUGACUUAACUCCAAAAAUUAAGGUGACAACUUUUGCACUCAGCGGAAUUGCAAACUUGUCCCGGAUACUGUUAAUAUUCUUAUACAAGACCUGUUUAUU